rnacentral:rRNA from 1 species
UCCUACGGGAGGCAGCAGUGGGGAAUAUUGCGCAAUGGGCGAAAGCCUGACGCAGCCACGCCGCGUGUGUGAUGAAGGCCCUAGGGUCGUAAAGCACUGUUUGGAGGGAAGAAGUUCUGACGGUACCUCCCAAGAAAGCACCGGCUAACUCCGUGCCAGCAGCCGCGGUAAUACGGAGGGUGCAAGCGUUGCUCGGAAUCACUGGGCGUAAAGGGUACGCAGGCGGCUUGUUAAGUCGGGUGUGAAAGCCCAGGGCUCAACCCUGGAAUUGCGCCCGAUACUGGCAGGCUUGAGUACGGGAGAGGGAAGCGAAAUUCCUGGUGUAGAGGUGAAAUUCGUAGAUAUCAGGAGGAACACCAGUGGCGAAAGCGGCUUCCUGGCCCGAUACUGACGCUCAUGUACGAAAGCGUGGGGAGCAAACAGGAUUAGAUACCCUGGUAGUCCACGCUGUAAACGAUGAGUGCUAGCUGCUGGAAAUGUCUACCGUUUCAGUGGCAAAGUCAACGCAUUAAGCACUCCGCCUGGGAAGUACGGCCGCAAGGCUAAAACUCAAAGGAAUUGACGA